AUCUUUAUUUUAUCGUUUAAUAAAAAAAUAUACAUUUUAAAGUGUGGGUUUUAAAUACAAGUGAUCGCAGAACCUUUCGGUUCGCCAAAUCAGUAAUGAUCCUUCCGCAGGUUCACCUACGGAAA
rnacentral:misc_RNA from 1 species